UACGAAGGGGGCUAGCGUUGUUCGGAAUCACUGGGCGUAAAGGGCGCGUAGGCGGCUUUAUAAGUCGGGGGUGAAAGCCUGUGGCUCAACCACAGAAUUGCCUUCGAUACUGUAGAGCUUGAGACCGGAAGAGGUAAGUGGAACUGCGAGUGUAGAGGUGGAAUUCGUAGAUAUUAGGAAGAACACCAGUGGCGAAGGCGGCUCACUGGUCCGGUACUGACGCUGAGGUGCGAAAGCGUGGGGGAGCAAACAGG
rnacentral:rRNA from 1 species